GAUGAACGCUGGCGGCGUGCCUAAUACAUGCAAGUCGAGCGAACAGAUAAGGAGCUUGCUCCUUUGACGUUAGCGGCGGACGGGUGAGUAACACGUGGGUAACCUACCUAUAAGACUGGAAUAACUCCGGGAAACCGGGGCUAAUGCCGGAUAACAUUUAGAACCGCAUGGUUCUAAAGUGAAAGAUGGUUUUGCUAUCAAUUAUAGAUGGACCCGCGCCGUAUUAGCUAGUUGGUAAGGUAAUGGCUUACCAAGGCAACGAUACGUAGCCGACCUGGGAGGGUGAUCGGCCACACUGGAACGGAGACACGGUCCAGACUCCUACGGGAGGCAGCAGUAGGGAAUCUUCCGCAAUGGGCGAAAGCCUGACGGAGCAACGCCGCGUGAGUGAUGAAGGGUUUCGGCUCGUAAAACUCUGUUAUUAGGGAAGAACAAACGUGUAAGUAACUGUGCACGUCUUGACGGUACCUAAUCAGAAAGCCACGGCUAACUACGUGCCAGCAGCCGCAGUAA
rnacentral:rRNA from 1 species